UCCGGUUUGUCACCGGCAGUCUCAUUAGAGUGCCCUUUCGUAGCAACUAAUGACAAGGGUUGCGCUCGUUGCGGGACUUAACCCGACAUCUCACGACACGAGCUGACGACAGCCAUGCAGCACCUGUGUCCAGGUUCCCUUUCGGGCACACUCCCAUCUCUGGAAGCUUCCUGGCAUGUCAAGGGUAGGUAAGGUUUUUCGCGUUGCAUCGAAUUAAUCCACAUCAUCCACCGCUUGUGCGGGUCCCCGUCAAUUCCUUUGAGUUUUAAUCUUGCGACCGUACUCCCCAGGCGGUCAACUUCACGCGUUAGCUACGGUACCAAGGAAUCGCUUCCCCAACACCCAGUUGACAUCGUUUAGGGCGUGGACUAC
rnacentral:misc_RNA from 1 species